rnacentral:lncRNA from 12 species
AUGUUCCCUGAUGGCUUUCCCAGUUUUGAGCAACACCAGGAACCCCAGGGAUGCGGCUGCUUCGAAUGCUGGAGACGCUGGUGCCACCGUCAAACCCAACACCUCAGGGAGCUUUUCAGGAGGCGCUGUAGGAGCUCCACAUGGGACAAGGGGUGGCGGCGGAGGCGGGAGGAAGAGGACAUCCCCCACACCCCGGUGGUGAUCAGGAAGGAGCCCAGCACAGCUAACGGAGACCUGCAAGGGUUCAAGGCUGAAAGGGCCUCAGCCCUGAGGAAGAAUCGGAUCUGCCCAACCACCCCCAGCCGGAGGGAGCUGCUGGAGCAGCAGGUAGAAGAACUGGUGCCCGCCUUGCUGCGCUUUGAUAACCUGUCCAUAUUUGAAUUCCUUAACUAUUUGGUGGAAUAUGGCACCCCUGAAGAGGUGCUGGACCUGCUGUUUGCAAAAUAUCGAUACAUCGUAGCUUCCUGCAAGAACGAAGGAAUCCUGGACCAGUGGGAAAUGUGA